rnacentral:rRNA from 1 species
GUGAAAUUGUUGAAAGGGAAACGAUUGAAGUCAGUCGUACCGACGGGAAAUCAACUAUCUUGAGUGCGAUUUUGUGGGUGGUGAUGAGCUUAACGGCCUUCAUAUUUGCAAAUUUGUAUUCUUGUGGUGUAUUUUUUCGUAUGGUGGGUCAACAUCAAUUUUGAACGUUAUAAAAUGAUUGGUGGAAUGUAGCUUCGGUCUCGUAUUGAAGUGUUAUAGCCUCUGGUAGAUGUGGUGACCGGGAUUGAGGAUUGCAACGAACCCUUUGGGGCUACCUGUCUGGCUUCUGGUGGUCGCUCUGGUGCUGAAAGCUUGCUUAUGGUUAUCGGAGUUGGUUGCCAAAAGGUUAGAACGGGUUAAUUUCGUUAAGGAUGUUGACGUAAUGGCUUUAAACGAC